AGAGUUUGAUCCUGGCUCAGAACGAACGCUGGCGGCGUGCCUAACACAUGCAAGUCGUACGAGAAACAUGUCCUUCGGGACAUGGAGUAAAGUGGCGCACGGGUGAGUAACACGUGGGUAACCUGCCCCCAGGACCGGGAUAACUGGCCGAAAGGCCCGCUAAUACCGGAUAAGACCACGGAGACCUCGGUCCCCGAGGCCAAAGUCGGCCUCUCAACGAAGCCGGCGCCUGGAGAGGGGCUCGCGGACCAUUAGCUUGUUGGUGAGGUAACGGCUCACCAAGGCCGAGAUGGUUAGCUGGUCUGAGAGGAUGAUCAGCCACACUGGAACUGAGACACGGUCCAGACUCCUACGGGAGGCAGCAGUGAGGAAUAUUGCGCAAUGGGGGAAACCCUGACGCAGCAACGCCGCGUGGGUGAAGAAGGCUUUCGGGUUGUAAAGCCCUGUCAGGUGGGAAGAACCUUCCCAGGAAGAAUACGCCUGGGAACUGACGGUAU
rnacentral:rRNA from 1 species